UAUGUAGGGUGCAAGCGUUGUCCGGAAUUAUUGGGCGUAAAGAGCUCGUAGGCGGUUUGUUGCGUCGGCUGUGAAAUCCCGAGGCUCAACCUCGGGUCUGCAGUCGAUACGAGCAAACUAGAGUGUUGCAGGGGAGACUGGAAUUCCUGGUGUAGCGGUGAAAUGCGCAGAUAUCAGGAGGAACACCGGUGGCGAAGGCGGGUCUCUGGGCAGUAACUGACGCUGAGGAGCGAAAGCGUGGGGAGCGAACAGG
rnacentral:rRNA from 1 species